rnacentral:snRNA from 1 species
GGAUGUGAGGGCAAUCUGGCUGCGACAUCUGUUACCCUACUGGUCACCAGGGUUGAUUCAGCUGACCUGGCUGGCUAGGAGAGUGUGCCCUUCCUCCAUCAGCACUCCAUGUGUGUCCCUCCCAAAGCUGUGGACUGGGUCGUAGAGGACGACCUUCCCUGCUAGAGGAGGACCAGUCUUUGGUCAAGGGUGUACAAGUAGCCAUGCUGCCCUGCUAGAACCUCAAAACAAGCUCUCAUAUUGGACUGAAAGCUUAUUACAAGCCUGGUUUAUUGUUGAAGGACUGCCAAAGCACAGAGACAAUCUGCAAAGACAAAUUUUUUUU